UACGGAGGGUGCAAGCGUUAUCCGGAUUCACUGGGUUUAAAGGGUGCGUAGGAGGGCAGGUAAGUCAGUGGUGAAAUCUCCGAGCUUAACUCAGAAACUGCCGUUGAUACUAUCUGUCUUGAAUCCCGUGGAGAUGAGCGGAAUAUGUCAUGUAGCGGUGAAAUGCUUAGAUAUGACAUAGAACACCAAUUGCGAAGGCAGCUCGUUACACGAAGAUUGACUCUGAGGCACGAAAGCGUGGGGAUCAAACAGG
rnacentral:rRNA from 1 species